rnacentral:pre_miRNA from 1 species
GCCGGGGUGGUAGAGUUUGACAGGCAAGCAUGUGCGUGCAGAGGGUAGUGCUUGCCUGUCUAACUCGCUAGUCUCGGC